rnacentral:lncRNA from 1 species
UGAGAAAUGAGUACUUUUGGUACCUUCUAUAUGAGGACUCUUGGCUUUUUAAGUAGUAGGAUAUAUCACCAUACUGAACAAAUAUCUAGUAGUUAUUUAUUCAUUCUUGUUGGCAGAAAUCCCUAUACCAAGUUAAUUGUUGAAUGAUAUGUUCAUACCUAAAUGAAAAUAUUUUAAACUAUGUUAGACUUUUUAAAGGAGUCUCUUUUAGAGUAAAGAUGCCUAUAUUUUCCUGCUUAUUGCUAUCUACGUAGACAGAUGCCUUUCACUAUUUAAAAAUAUUGUGCUCUUGCUGUAGGUGUCACUUGUACCCAAGGCGUUCUCAGCAACAGCAAAUUCCUGUGGUGGAUUUCCAGGCAGAACUGAGACAGGCGUUCUUAGCUGAGACACCAAGAGGUGGUUAAAGCAGUAUUGGAACUGUGGGGUGGUGGAAGUCAACAAAAACAGGACCUAUCCACUGAUUGUGAAACUUUGGUCAAGCUUACACUGUGUUAAUAGCCUGCAUCAAACCUUUAUUUAUUGCCCUUCUCCAAGUAUUAAGGAUCUUGAAAUUUUAGUGUUGACAACUGCUAUUGUGGAACAGCAAUCAUGACUGUGGGUAAGAGUAGCAAGAUGCUCCAGCAUAUUGACUAUAGAAUGAGAUGUAUCCUGCAAGAUGGAAGAAUC